rnacentral:rRNA from 1 species
AUGAAUAUCAUCAAUUGGAACUGUCGGGGAGGGGGGAAUACCCGAACAAUUCGAGAGCUAGCGACGUUUGUGACAAAUCGUUCGUUUUUUUAUGUGUGUGAAACUUGACAAAAGGUGGAAAGAAUGAGAGGUAAAAGUGAUCGGCUUGGCCUCCGUGGUUUUGAGGGUCUUGACAGUACAGGUUUAAGCGGUGGGUUAGCGCUUCACUGGCAUGAACCUUGCUUGGUUAAUAUUAUAGAUAAAGAUGACCACUAUAUUGAUAUUGUGGUACACAUUAUGGAAUCAAGUGAACAGUGGAGAUUGACUUGUGUGUAUGACGAACCUCGAGUUGAAAAAUCGCCAUCUAAUGUGGGUGAAGCUUCACUUCAAUGA